UAGAAACUGCAUGACUAGAGUCUGAUAGGGGAAGUUAGAAUUCCUGGUGUAAGGGUGGAAUCUGUUGAUAUCAGGAAGAAUACCAGAGGCGAAGGCGAACUUCUAGGUCAAGACUGACGCUGAGUCACGAAAGCGUAGGGAGCAAACAGGAUUAGAUACCCUGGUAGUCUACGCUGUAAACGAUGCACACUUGGUGUUAAUCGAAAGGUUAGUACCGAAGCUAACGUGUUAAGUGUGCCGCCUGGGGAGUAUGUUCGCAAGAAUGAAACUCAAAGGAAUUGACGGGGGCCCGCACAAGCGGUGGAGCAUGUGGUUUAAUUCGAUGAUACGCGAGGAACCUUACCAGGGCUUGACAUAUACAGGAUAUAGUUAGAGAUAACUAUUCCCCGUUUGGGGUCUGUAUACAGGUGCUGCAUGGUUGUCGUCAGCUCGUGCCGUGAGGUGUUGGGUUAAGUCCCGCAACGAGCGCAACCCUUAUUGUCUGUUACCAGCAUGUAAAGAUGGGGACUCAGACGA
rnacentral:rRNA from 1 species